rnacentral:rRNA from 1 species
GAGCGCAACCCUUGUCCCGUGUUGCCAGCAAGCCCCUUCGGGGGUGUUGGGGACUCACGGGAGACCGCCGGGGUCAACUCGGAGGAAGGUGGGGACGACGUCAAGUCAUCAUGCCCCUUAUGUCUUGGGCUGCACACGUGCUACAAUGGCCGGUACAAUGAGCUGCGAUACCGCAAGGUGGAGCGAAUCUCAAAAAGCCGGUCUCAGUUCGGAUUGGGGUCUGCAACUCGACCCCAUGAAGUCGGAGUCGCUAGUAAUCGCAGAUCAGCAUUGCUGCGGUGAAUACGUUCCCGGGCCUUGUACACACCGCCCGUCACGUCACGAAAGUCGGUAACACCCGAAGCCGGUGGCCCAACCCCUUGUGGGAGGGAGCUGU